rnacentral:lncRNA from 1 species
AAGACGACAAAAGCUUAGAGGGGCUUUCUGGCUUCUUGCUGAAGGUUCCUGGGCCCUAGAAGUGGUAUGGGCAUGGAGCAGUCAUGAAGGCAGGAAAAUGGGUGUCUCAGUAGUAAAUAGUACAGACAGAUCAACAACAACACUGACGAUGUUUAUGUAGUGCUCUGUGCCUGGCACCAUUCUACACGCCUUAUAAGUGUUGAUUCAUUGCGUCCUCACAGCAGCUGCUUCUGUUUCCCCACGAGGAAGCUGAGGGGCGGAUGGUUUAACUUAGGAACCACCGGCAAGUCUUUUUUGAAGCCUCAGCUUGGGGAAGAUCUUGGGUGAGAGGAGAGGCUUCCAUAGUGACUGAGGGUAAAUUUAUCCAAGCUGCAGGAGAUGGAGACUCAAAUUUGAAUUUGAGUCAAUUUAAGAAAAAAAAAUGUGACAUUCUGUUUGUCAACUGAAAUUCAAACUGCCUGUCUCAUUCAUUAACAGAUACUCAUUCUUCUGACUCCACUUUGCCCCGGCCUGACCUGGCUCGGCAAGGGCCAGGAGGAGGGCUCUCUCGCAUUAGGACUGCUUCUUCCACCCUCCCGAGGGAGGGGCUGGCUGGGAAAGGGGGCAGCUGCUUUAAGAGCAAGCACCAAGUACGAAGGUGCCCGCGUCUCCGAGGCCGCUAGGGGCACCGUGAGCCUGCAUUCCCGCAGCCAGCCUCUGCUGCGGCCUGAGAAUCCCUGGAGAUUUCAGAACAGCCAGACUCUACACAAAUGCUGGGAUCCUUGCUCAGGGUCUGGGGCGGAGCUCCAGGAAUCUGUAUUUUGUGAGCCUCCCCCGACUGAUUCUGAUGACCAGUAGGUUUGGGAGCCGCUGAUCCACUUUCUACCAGUCCAGGUGUCCUCCCGGGCCCUCCCCAGGCCCAGCACCCUGACCACAGGUCACCCAGCCUCAGCUUGGACACUGCCCGCAUCAGGGAGCUCAUUGCUUCCCAGGCAUGUGCUGUCAGAGGUUCUGAAUGCCAGCAGGUUCUUUCUUACCCUGAGCCAAAGGUUGGCCUCCUGCUGCCACCUCUGCUCCACAUUCCCCAUCCAGGGCUGGGCUGUACCCACCUUCCCAGCACCUCUUCUGCCAACCCUUCACCUGCGAGGACCGAUGCGGGUCACCAGCUCUUGCACAAGACUCCCAGACUGCCCCCAGGUGCCUGCUCCCUGGACCCGUUUGUCGACAUCACCAUAAAAGACGCAUGCAGCUAAACCUGGGCCUCACCCUGCGGGAAGGUCUGGUCGGGAGAAGAGGCAGAGACCCCACCGUCUCCCUGUGUCAACACUGCCCUUCCGGCUUAGAGACGGUCUUUUUCUCUCUUAUGAUGGGUGAAGGACAUACCUUCUCAACCCACUGUGCAGACUGGGCAACUAAGGCACAGACAAAGGAGGACAGGCUGCGCAGUGCCAGACAGCAAGUGGAAGGCCAAGAUGAACGUGACCAGGAGGAGAAGAGGAGCCUGAAGGCAGGCCACGAAGUUCUGGGGAGAGUGGAAAUGCAGGAAAGGGGACUGUGCCCAUCUCUUUUUGAAUCCCACAUCCUCCUGAAGCCAAGGACCAGAAGGGGCCACAGUACUAUACCUCCAGCCUGGGAAGGAGUCCUCCCCAUUUUAGCAUCAUCAGGGUGGGAGUCGCACGAGUAAGGAGGUGAUCUCUUGCAGGGAGUAAGGAGGGGAUCUCUUGCAGGGAGUAAGGAGGGGAUCUCUUGCCUGCAGGAGAUGUAUUUUUCUUAGAUGUGCUCACAGCACCCGGACCAGCUUGCCAUCCUCUUCCCUCUGGAGCAGAAGGGCCCCGUUUUCCCUUCCCCAAGUGCAGCUGCCUAAUCAGACAGACAGACAGGGACCGCCACUACGUGCUGGGUGCUGGACAGGUGCAGAUGGGCUCCUAGAGCAGGAAGAGAAGGGGUUAGAGGAGGGAGAGGGUCUGGGGAGGCUCCCUCCGGGCCAGGGAAAUGGCCAAGUGGACGCCCGGGGAUUCAGGACCAAGAAGGGCUUGGAACAGCUGGGGGACUAGCAAAGCUAUUUCUGACCCCAACACCAUCGGGGUCCAGUAUGGUAGCCACUAGCUACACGUGGCUAGUGAGCCCUGGAAAUGCGACUUUUCCUAAUUGAGAGGUGCUGUCAGUGUAAAAUACACAGCAGAUUUCAAAGACUUGAUAUUAAAAAAAGAAUGUAAAAUACCUUAUUGUUACUGUUUUAUGUUAUAGAUUAAAACAAUAUUUAGGAUCUAUUGAACUAAAUAAAAUAUAUUAUUAAAAUUA